UUUUUUCUCUGUGGUACUGUAGCAGUCUUCUGUUGUCAUACAGUGACAUCUAGUGGUCAGUGAUGGUAUCUACAGUAAAAUUGGAUAUGCAAAAUGA